AGGUUGAAGUGAAGGCCAGAGUAAACGGAUUUGGCCUUACUGGGUGCCUGAUCACUAGGACAGUUUUAACUGUAGCAAAGUGGUUAUUGUCACCAUCAGUGACCUCUUCAUUGACCUCAAUUACAUGGUCCACAUGUUCCAGUAUGAUUCCACCCAUGGCAAGUUCCACGCACCAUCAAGGCUGAGAAUGGGAAGCUUGUCAUCAAUGGCAAUCCCAUUACCAUCUUCCAGGAGCAAGAUCCCAUCCAAAUCAAACAAGGGGAUGCCAGUGCUGAUUAUCUUGUGGAAUCCACCAGCAUCAUCACUACCUUGGAAAAGACUAGGGCUCACUUAAAGGGGACAUGAUUUCUCCCCCUUCUGCUGAUGCCCCCAUGUUUGUGAUGGGUGUGAAUCAUGAGAAAAACAAAAACAACUUCACAAUCAUCAACAAUGCUUUCUGUUCCACCAACUGCUUAGCACCCCCAGCCAAGGUCAUCCAUGACAACUUUGGCAUCAUGGAGGGAUUCAUGACCACAGUCCAUGCCAUCACUGCCACCCAGAAGACGAAGACAACCCCUCUCGGAAACUGGGAUGACAGCUAUGGAGCUCCACAGACAUCACCCCUGCAAUUAACUAGUGUUGCCAAGGCAAAGUCAUCCCCACACUGAAUGAGAACCUCACUGGCAUGGCCUUCUGUGUCCCCACUGCCAACAUGUUGGUUGUGGACCUGACCUGCCAUCUAAAGAAACCUGCCAAAUAUGGUAACACCAAGAAGGUAAUGAAGGAGGCACGGAAGGGCCCCUCAAGAGCAUCGUGGUGCUACACUGAGCACCAAGUUGUCUCCUCCAACUAUAACAGUGACAUCGACCUUCCACUUUCGACGUUGGGGCUGGCAUUGUCCUCAGCGAUAACUCUGUCAAGCUCAUAUUCUGAUAUGACAAUGAAUUUGGCUACAGCAACAGGGUGGUAGACUUUAUGGUACACAUGGCCUCCAAGGAGUAA
rnacentral:lncRNA from 1 species